UGGGGAAUAUUGCACAAUGGGCGGAAGCCUGAUGCAGCGACGCCGCGUGAGGGAUGACGGCCUUCGGGUUGUAAACCUCUUUCAGUAGGGACGAAGCGUAAGUGACGGUACCUGCAGAAGAAGCACCGGCUAACUACGUGCCAGCAGCCGCGGUAAUACGUAGGGUGCGAGCGUUGUCCGGAAUUACUGGGCGUAAAGAGCUCGUAGGCGGUUUGUCACGUCGUCUGUGAAAUCCUAGGGCUUAACCCUGGACGUGCAGGCGAUACGGGCUGACUUGAGUACUACAGGGGAGACUGGAAUUUCUGGUGUAGCGGUGGAAUGCACAGAUAUAAGGAAGAACACCGAUGGCGAAGGCAGGUCUCUGGGUAGUAACUGACGCUGAGGAGCGAAAGCAUGGGUAGCGAACAGG
rnacentral:rRNA from 1 species